GAUGAACGCUAGCGAUAGGCUUAACACAUGCAAGUCGAGGGGCAGCAUGGUCUUAGCUUGCUAAGGCUGAUGGCGACCGGCGUAAGGGUGCGUAACGCGUAUGUAACUUGCCUUUGAGAGGGGGAUAACCCGGAGAAAUCCGGCCUAAUACCGCGUAUUCUCAAGUUGCUGCAUGGCAGUUUGAGGAAAGAUUUAUUGCUCAGAGAUAGGCAUGCGUUCCAUUAGGUAGUUGGUGAGGUAACGGCUCACCAAGGCAACGAUGGGUAGGGGAACUGAGAGGUUUAUCCCCCACAUUGGUACUGAGACACGGACCAA
rnacentral:rRNA from 1 species